rnacentral:lncRNA from 1 species
UGGUAAGACUUGGUCUAGACUUCAAAAACAAUCUCUGCUCUUCUGAUAGGGCAGACCAUAUUUACUCUGGCUGGGAAGUCACAGACCUAUCCCUGCCUGCUGAAUAUUGCACUUUAAAGCCUUAUAUAAAUGUUAGCUAUUACUAUUUUUUUUCUUUUUCUUCCCAGGAGCUAUCGAGGCCAAAUGUGACUGCCAGGAAGGAGCUGGGAGCAGCCAAAGAGGCUGAGCAUGUCAGACUUCUCUCCUAGCCUGCCACACACACUUAAAACCCAAAGGAAAUAAGCAGGGAUCAGUGGGAGGAAGGGAGCCAACCAGGAGUACCAGGGGGUCAUCUGUGAGAAUCUCAUUGUUUUCACCUCAUCAUUUUCACUGUGUACCUGUCAAAUGCUUUUUGAGGAAGAAAUUUGGGGAAUAGACUGUUGCAGAAACACCAAACCAAUAAAUCUCAAAUUCCAUACAGACACAAAUGAAAAUUGUUGGAAAUCUACACUCACCACAAAUACAAUUGAGUGUUUAUUGAACUUGCAUAUUGUGAAAGCCUCAGAAUUUCCUUCAGCCUAUUCCAGCAGUUUUUUCCUGCUUGGACUAGGAGUCAGCUGAUAGAGGAGGUAAUUAUUAUUCUAGGAAGACAGAAACUAAAGGUCUGAUUGGUUUCUUUGCCUCUAUUAUCUCCUUUUCUCCAGUCUAUCCUUCACACAGCUGCCAAAAUAAUCUUCCUAAGCUAUAAACCUAUCCCUUUUUAAAAACUUCUAUUGUUUCCCUGUCACCCAUAGAAUUAAAUACAAAUUACUUUGUCUGGCAUUCUAGAC